CAUCGAGACUCCUACGGGAGGCAGCAGUGGGGAAUAUUGCACAAUGGGCGCAAGCCUGAUGCAGCCAUGCCGCGUGUGUGAAGAAGGCCUUCGGGUUGUAAAGCACUUUCAGUCGUGAGGAAGGCGGGUACGUUAAUAGCGUAUUCGUUUGACGUUAGCGACAGAAGAAGCACCGGCUAACUCCGUGCCAGCAGCCGCGGUAAUACGGAGGGUGCGAGCGUUAAUCGGAAUUACUGGGCGUAAAGCGCAUGCAGGUGGUUUGUUAAGUCAGAUGUGAAAGCCCCGGGGCUCAACCUCGGAAUAGCAUUUGAAACUGGCAGACUAGAGUACUGUAGAGGGGGUAGAAUUUCAGGUGUAGCGGUGAAAUGCGUAGAGAUCUGAAGGAAUACCGGUGGCGAAGGCGGCCCCCUGGACAGAUACUGACACUCAGAUGCGAAAGCGUGGGGAGCAAACAGGAUUAGAUACCCUGGUAG
rnacentral:rRNA from 1 species